GGCAGCCGCCGCGGUAACACCGGCGGCCCGAGUGGUGAUCGUGAUUAUUGGGUCUAAAGGGUCCGUAGCCGGUUUGGUCAGUCCUCCGGGAAAUCUGAUAGCUCAACUAUUAGGCUUUCGGGGGAUACUGCCAGACUUGGAACCGGGAGAGGUAAGAGGUACUACAGGGGUAGGAGUGAAAUCUUGUAAUCCCUGUGGGACCACCUGUGGCGAAGGCGUCUUACCAGAACGGGUUCGACGGUGAGGGACGAAAGCUGGGGGCACGAACCGGAUUAGAUACCCGGGUAGUCCCAGCCGUAAACGAUGCUCGCUAGGUGUCAGGCAUGGCGCGACCGUGUCUGGUGCCGCAGGGAAGCCGUGAAGCGAGCCACCUGGGAAGUACGGCCGCAAGGCUGAAACUUAAAGGAAUUGGCGGGGGAGCACAACAAACCGGGUGGAGCCUGCGGUUUAAUUGGACUCAACGCCGGACAACUCACCGGGGGCGACAGCAAUAUGUAGGCCAAGCUGAAGACUUUGCCUGAAUCGCUGAGGGGUGGUGCAUGG
rnacentral:rRNA from 1 species